rnacentral:ncRNA from 1 species
GUGAAAGGAGACUCGGCUAAGGUCUUUCGCGUCCUGCGAAAAACGCCGGUCACCUUCGUCCUGGUGUG